rnacentral:rRNA from 1 species
AUGAAUGCUGGUGGCGUGACUAAGGCAUGCAAGUUGAAUGCUGUAGCAAUACGGCAUGGCAAACGGGAGAGUAACGCAUUGGUAAUCUGCCUCGAAGACGGGGAUAACUCCGCGAAAGCGGAGAUAAUACCCGAUGGUAGUGGAUAGCAUAAGCUAUCUACUUAAAGAUUUAUCGCUUCGAGAGGAACCUAUGUAUCAUCAGCUAGUUGGUGAGGUAAUGGCCCACCAAGGCUACGACGAUUACCGGGUGUGAGAGCAUGGCCCGGCGCACUGGGACUGAGACACUGCCCAGACUCCUACGGGAGGCUGCAGUCAUGAAUCUUCCUCAAUGGCCGAAAGGCUGAAGGAGCGACGCCGCGUGUGUGAUGAAGCCCUUUGGGGUGUAAAGCACUUUUAUAUAGGAAGAACAAAUGACGGUACUAUAUGAAUAAGGGGCUGCUAACUUCGU